rnacentral:sRNA from 1 species
AACACAAGUGAACCCGCAUGGGGCGAAUGCAUAGAGCAUACACAGACCACAGUGAGGUCCAAACAGGAAAACAUGCUUGGAAGCCAGUGUCACUGCAAGGAGUUUGGUCUGUGUAACUGGCAUCCUAAGUGGAUCACAGUUCCCCCACUACUAUAUAGAGACCAAGAGAUGUAAGCAGCCAGGUGUUCCCUAUGCCCGCCCACACAGGCUUACAAGUACCAGAGAGAUGCCUUCUCCAGGAUUAUUAUCAGGUACGCAGGCUACAACCUGGUUUCAGGACCCUCACCCCUCUGGUUUCAGAAGUCAGAUCAUCAAUUCAGCAUCCACAAUGACUUGAUUGAUCAGGGAUACUCAGAUAUCCUACACUGUUACUCUAGUCCAAUAACUUUGCAUUAAAAAGUCAUGUAGGGGGAGGACAUGGUCAACAGACUUAUUAAUUCCCCCUACUGAAAUGACAAAUGCCCCAGAAGUGCCAAUAGGUUACAGGCUCUUUCUCUACCUGCUCCAUAUAGUUUGGCUACUGUAGAAAAAUAUCUGCCACACAGAACCUCUAAUAUAUGAAGGUAAGAUUGGCCCCGUCAGCCAGAGGUAGUCAGAGGAGUUCUAAGAAUAUAAGGUCAUGGCCAGGAGCACAGUUCUCUCCCUCUUACUACUGUCAGAUAGUCACUGAAUUUAAAGAAGCAAUGAAAGUGAAGUACAUUGAUGCCCUGUUUAAUUCAGAAAAGUUAUACCCUCCAUGACUCCUGGUGGUGUUAUAAUAUCAAUUUAACAUACCGAAUGCACUGUAAAAGUAAAGACUAGAAGUUCACCCAAUAAUAGCAUAGGCAUUGCCAUAUCCUCCAUGUGGUUAUGGAGAAACUAAUGAUGUGAAAACCUUGACUUUCAGGAAUUGUGAUAAUCAUGGAAUUCAAUAUCUGUGGAGAUGUUCCAGUGGUUGUGGCCCAUUACUAAAAGGCCAGCUGAAGGCCCCCACACUCACCCCUGACAGGAAGCUCAACAUACACUGCCCAGAACUUACUCCACAUUCCCCAUGUCCUGUGUCCAUCAUUACCUUUAGGUUUCGUUUGCUUCACUCUAGACUCUUCUCUAUCAACAUCAACUCUCCCAAAGCGCCUACAAAGACGGGCAAACAUGUCUGUGGAUAUAUCCUUUGGA